rnacentral:rRNA from 1 species
GGGUCCGCACAAGCGGUGGAGCAUGUGGUUUAAUUCGAUGAUACGCGAGGAACCUUACCUGGGCUCGAAUGGUAUUGGCUGAUAGCUGAAAGGCUGUUUUCCUUCGGGACUGAUAUCAAGGUGCUGCAUGGUUGUCGUCAGCUCGUGCCGUGAGGUGUCAGGUUAAGUCCUAUAACGAGCGCAACCCCUACCGUUAGUUGCCAGCGUGUAAUGACGGGGACUCUAACGGAACUGCCGGUGCAAACCGUGAGGAAGGUGGGGACGACGUCAAAUCAUCACGGCCCUUACGUCCUGGCCACACACGUGCUACAAUGGUAGGUACAGAGGGAAGCCACCCCGCGAGGGGGAGCGGA